AACGAACGCUGGCGGCAGGCCUAACACAUGCAAGUCGAACGCCCCGCAAGGGGAGCGGCCGACGGGUGAGUAACACGUGGGAACCUUCCCUAUAGUACGGAAUAGCCCAGGGAAACUUGGAGUAAUACCGUAUACGCCCGAAAGGGGAAAGAAUUUCGCUAUAGGAUGGGCCCGCGUAGGAUUAGCUAGUUGGUGAGGUAAUGGCUCACCAAGGCGACGAUCCUUAGCUGGUUUGAGAGAACGACCAGCCACACUGGGACUGAGACACGGCCCAGACUCCUACGGGAGGCAGCAGUGGGGAAUAUUGGACAAUGGGCGCAAGCCUGAUCCAGCCAUGCCGCGUGAGUGAUGAAGGCCUUAGGGUUGUAAAGCUCUUUUGGCGGGGACGAUAAUGACGGUACCCGCAGAAUAAGUCCCGGCUAACUUCGUG
rnacentral:rRNA from 1 species